rnacentral:tRNA from 1 species
UGCUAUAGCUCAGUCGGUAGAGCAACUGAUUCGUAAUCAGUAGGUCGUAGGUUCAAUUCCUAUUAGCA